UCUCAUCUCUCUCCAUUCAUCGAAAGAUUUAUCUCCAAUCAGAUUAAAACACCGCUAUCCUUACAAACUCCUACAUGCAUUACAUGUGCCAAAUACCAUAAGUUGGUCUAUAGGUAGAGAGAGUUGAUAAUUAUACUUGGCAUUGAGGCAGUGGCUUGGGUUUUUUACACAUUGUCUUUGCAUUAGAAAGAAGGAAAAAAAGAUCAAAUCAACUAGUAAAUACUAGAAAAAAAAGGCUUUCUACAUAUGCAUCGUUCAAAGCAACGAUUUUGAUCAGCUGUAGCAAGGAAAGAGACUUCACGAGAACCAAAAUAGGAAGAAAUAGGUAUGGCCUAUAUAUUCU
rnacentral:lncRNA from 1 species